GGCUUCUUGUAUUUCCCGAACAGCCAGGGAAGCACCGUUCAGUAGUUCUAUGCGAACGGACAAGGGGAGCAAUCGCUGCUAUGAGCCAGGAGGAUCCAUUCGGGACUUUUGUUCGGUUUUUACAGAUUUGUGAAUUGACCGACCGCACACGCUGAAUUCAUGGAACUAUUUUGGGCACAAACAUAUCCAAAUUUCACCCAGAUUGGUUCAGGGGUUCUGAAAAAG